UGUCUAGGUUUGGGAAUCGAACCCACAGUGUUCCGCUUACCGAGAAGAUUCCAUGUCCACUAGGCUACCCUGGAC